GUUCGUAAAUAUCUUUUGUAGAACAGCACAGAAUGUUGACUGACUUUGAAGGUGUUGCAAGAAAAAACGAAGUAGGGUUCCGCAUUUGGACUAGCAAAGAGGGUAUUGGGAUGCUAAGGGGUUCUUAUAACUUAGAUGGGUAUGCUUCAAGAAGUUCCACCAGUACCAGGUUGUUGGGAGAAAGCUCCCUAUGGCAUCUAAUGAGCACCCCAAGAUUUACCAAAUGAAGCUCUGGGCCACAAAUGAGGUUCACGCCAAGUCCAAGUAUUUCAUGAGGAAGCUGAAGAAGGUCAAGAAGAGCAAUGGCCAAGUGCUUGCCAUUAAUGAGAUGUGAAGGAGGUUGCGUCAUAGGCAUCCUCUGGAAUAUUAUGAAAACCUAUCAGCAUAUCCACACCUUCUUUUACACCCGAUUUCUCUGCACAUUCUUCUCAAAAACUUAAAUGCUUUAUGCUCCAUAGCCUUUGGUGACAUGAAGCAGAAACAGGGAAGGAAAUCUCAUAUGAAAUGGGUAUUUUAUGUUGGAGUGAUAGUAGUUGUCAAAAAUGGCAUCAAAGCUUGGCAAAUCUAUGCUUGAUGGGGUUGGUGUUACGGUUUGAUCAGUGAUAGGACUUUUGGUUAAAUCCCAAGCAGGGAAUGCAUUCUUUGCCAUAGUUCCCGGACAGGUCCUCUUGGCUUCCCUUGAUGCUAUCAAGUUAAAACCCCUGCAAAGGACAAGAAAGAAUAGCAGCCACCUCUAUAG